GAUCAGGCUCAGGGUGAACGCUGGCGGCGUGCCUAAUACAUGCAAGUCGAACGCUUUGUGGUUCAACUGAUUUGAAGAGCUUGCUCAGAUAUGACGAUGGACAUUGCAAAGAGUGGCGAACGGGUGAGUAACACGUGGGAAACCUACCUCUUAGCAGGGGAUAACAUUUGGAAACAGAUGCUAAUACCGUAUAACAAUAGCAACCGCAUGGUUGCUACUUAAAAGAUGGUUCUG
rnacentral:rRNA from 1 species